rnacentral:rRNA from 1 species
GAGUUUGAUCCUGGCUCAGAACGAACGCUGGCGGCGUGGAUAAGACAUGCAAGUCGAACGCUGACAUUUGAGUAGCAAUAUUUAAAUGUCGGAGUGGCGCAAGGGUGCGUAACACGUGGGUAAUUUGCCGUAAAGUCUGGGAUAACUUGCUGAAAGGCGAGCUAAUACCGGAUGUGAAUUCAUGAAGGCAUCUUCGAGAAUUCAAAGUUGGGGACCGCAAGGCCUGACGCUUUACGAUAAGCCCGCGGCCUAUCAGCUAGUUGGUGAGGUAACGGCUCACCAAGGCUAAGACGGGUAGCUGGUCUGAGAGGACGACCAGCCUCACUGGAACUGAGACACGGUCCAGACACCUACGGGUGGCAGCAGUCGAGAAUUUUUCUCAAUGGGCGAAAGCCUGAAGGAGCGACGCCGCGUGGGGGAUGAAUGGCUUCGGCCCGUAAACCCCUGUCAUUUGUGAACAAAUUGCUUCACCCAACACGUGAAGCAUUGAUUGUAACGGAAGAGGAAGGGACGGCUAACUCUGUGCCAGCAGCCGCGGUAAUACAGAGGUCCCAAGCGUUGUUCGGAUUCACUGGGCGUAAAGGGUGCGUAGCCGGUUUGAUAAGUCUGAUGUGAAAUCCCGCAGCUUAACUGCGGAACUGCAUUGGAAACUAUCUCACUAGAGGAAUGGAGGGGAGACUGGAAUACUUGGUGUAGCAGUGAAAUGCGUAGAUAUCAAGUGGAACACCAGUGGCGAAGGCGAGUCUCUGGACAUUUCCUGACGCUGAGGCACGAAACCAGGGGAGCAAACGGGAUUAGAUACCCCGGUAGUCCUGGCCCUAAACGGUGCGCGUUUGCUGUGAGCGGAAUCGACCCCGCUCGUGGCGAAGUUAACACGUUAAACGCGCCGCCUGGGAAGUACGGCCGCAAGGUUAAAACUCAAAGAAAUUGACGGGGGCCUGCACAAGCGGUGGAGUAUGUGGCUUAAUUCGAUGCAACGCGAAGAACCUUACCUGGCCUUGACAUGCACAUAGUAGAAGCCUGAAAGGGUGACGAGAUAGCAAUAUCAGUGUGCACAGGUGCUGCAUGGCUGUCGUCAGCUCGUGUCGUGAGAUGUUGGGUUAAGUCCCGCAACGAGCGCAACCCCUGUGUCCUGUUGCCACCCCUUAAAUGGGAGCACUCUGGACAGACUGCCUCGCUUCAACGAGGAGGAAGGUGGGGAUGACGUCAAGUCAGUAUGGCCCUUACGGCCAGGGCUGCACACGUACUACAAUGCCCGGUACAAAGGGAAGCAAGACUGUAAAGUGGAGCCAAUCCCCCAAAACCGGGCCCAGUUCAGAUUGUCGUCUGCAACUCGACGACAUGAAGCUGGAAUCGCUAGUAAUGGCGCAUCAGCUACGGCGCCGUGAAUACGUUCCCAGGCCUUGUACACACCGCCCGUCACAUCAUGAAAGCCGGUUGCACCCGAAGUCGCCCCUAAAAAGGUGCCGAAGGUAUGACUGGUGAUUGGGAUGAAGUCGUAACAAGGUAACC